rnacentral:ncRNA from 1 species
UGAAUAGCAUCGAUGAGAAUUAGUACCCAGUGAGGGUGGUGCAGAGAGACGGUGGUUGGUGUGAACCGUUCUACUCUACUGGGGAAUCCCUCUCGGAGCUGGGCGUGAAAGGGCUCGAUCCCUAAAGCGUCUCCGGUUAGCGACCGUGAUCCCGCACAGAAGAGGAUCGAGGGCAGUUUCCUCGAUUAAAUUAGGGUGGCAACGCGGAACCUUCCGUCCCUUGG